UACGUAGGUGGCAAGCGUUGUCCGGAAUUAUUGGGCGUAAAGCGCGCGCAGGCGGUCCUUUAAGUCUGAUGUGAAAGCCCACGGCUCAACCGUGGAGGGUCAUUGGAAACUGAGGGACUUGAGUGCAGAAGAGGAAAGUGGAGUUCCACGUGCAGCGGUGAAAUGCGUAGAGAUGUGGAGUAACACCAGUGGCGAUGGCGACUUUCUGGUCUGUAACUGACGCUGAGGCGCGAAAGCGUGGAGAGCAAACAGG
rnacentral:misc_RNA from 1 species